AAAAAAUAUGAUAUUUUUAAGUUGGAAAGAAACCGACCAUCACCAAUACUCUCAAUUCUGUUGAGAGGUCUUUGUCGCAUAAGCCUCUUUGCUUGCCUACUCCAUUGAAGUUCCACUUCCAUCUCUUCUCUCUCUCAACAAACUUCACCUUUUUCAUUUUCCAAUUUUUUUUCCCUUUCAAAUCCUAAUUUAUGAAUCCUCAGUCCAUAUCUUAACCAUGAAAAAAUCAGCUUCAAAAGGUGCAGAGAGUGGUGGGUUUGACAACAGGCAGAUAGAUUGGGAGCUUAGGCCUGGUGGCAUGCUGGUUCAAAAGAGAGAGGUUGAGGGUGACCCUUCUGGGCCUAUGAUCAAGAUCAAGAUCUCUCACGGUUCCUAUCACUAUGAAAUCACUGUCCCUGCUCAGUCCACUUUUGGGGAUUUGAAAAAUGCUCUUUUCCAUGACACUGGUCUGGAGCCUAAGGAGCAGAGAUUGUUGUUUAGAGGCAAAGAAAAAGAAGACAAUGAAUGUUUGCAUAUGGUAGGUGUAAAAGACAUGUCAAAAGUGAUACUACUGGAGGACCCUGCUUGCAAAGAGAGGAAGCUUGAGGAGAUGAAGAGAAAUCAAGGAAUGUUAAAAGCCUAUGAAGAAGUUGCCAAAGUGAGAGCAGAGGUUGAUAAACUAUCACAGAGGGUUCUCACUUUGGAGACAACUGUUCGCAAUGGCACCCAGGUCGCAGACCAAGAGUUCGUUGUCUUGACAGAAUUGCUUAUGAUGCAGUUGCUCAAAUUGGAUACAAUUGAGGCUAAUGGAGAAGCAAAAGUACAGAGGCGGAAUGAGGUUCGCCGUGUCCAGAACUUUGUGGACACACUUGACAAUCUAAAAGCAAGAAAUUCUAACCCCUUCAGCAAUGGUAGCAAUGCAGUGUCAGUGACUACCAAAUGGCAGACAUUCGAGUGUGGAGUUGGAAGCCUGAGUACCCCAGUGCCAAGACAAUCUGUCAUGAAAAUAACUCAGGACUGGGAGCUGUUUGACUAGCCAAGUACCCAUGAGUUCUUUCAUCAGGUUCAAUCUGUAAAAAUUUAUAAUGCAACAUGUAUGAUGCAACAGGACUUGGAAAAGUAUACUUUCCAUCUUGAUCUUUGUGAGUUACUUUUGCAUAGAAACGAAGGAAGAGGAUCGCUUGAAACUGCUAUGUAUUGUAUGUACAUAUUUGUUGAAUUAUAUAGUUUAGUUGCUGCCUGUUUCAGCGGUGUUUUCUUUUUAACAGAAAUUAGCUGAGGCAUAUAAACAAUAUGAUUUGGUUUCCUAGAAACAUGAGUGAAAGGAGAAAUCUAAAAUCAUUUGUUAAAUAGCAUAUUAGCAACUAGAAAAUCCAAUGGAGAAGCUUCAUGUGUGUCUUGAAGAAUUGUUAAAAUCACAUACAGAUUCUUGCUUUCAACCUCGAAAGAAUCAAGUUGCAAGUCCUUGGCUAAUUGAAGAUCAUGGAAAAUUGCAUUGCCUUAGCAAUAUCGACUGAAAAAACUGAUUUCUUCCAUCUGGAAGUAGCUGCUGUAACCUCUCUUUUCUAAUUGCAAAAAAUCAAACCCAUCCAUGGCCAUUGGUUUGGAACCAAGUUGCUUAGUGUUGAGCUUAUAGUGUUGAAUAUCUGGAGGGAUGCAUGCUGGACACCUAUAGUUGUAGAGAUAAUCUCCAUAUUUGCGAAGCAAGAGAAGAAUCAUGUAACACAUGCUCUUCAAUCUCAAUAUAUUGGCCACAUAACCUGCACGCAGAAUCAAUUGACAUGUAUCCUUUAAGUACAGAAAAACCAGCAAGUAGAGAAGAAUGACAGGACCCAUAUGCUAAAUUACACCAAUGAUCACUAAAUUAAUUGCUGAAUUCUAUUAUUAUCACUAAAGAAUUAAUUUAUUAUAAUUACAUAAAAUAUGUUAGCUAUUCAACCAAAAACUAUCACAGAAAUGUUUUAUGAUUUUAUUACGCUGAUAACAAGCCACUGGGGACCUAUAAAGACAUGCAGUGAUUUUCUCUUGUAAUUUUUCUCUUGUUAAGAGAGAGAAAUACUGCAAGCUGAUUUUAUGGAUCACAAAUUGUUUAAUAUUUAGCUAAGAAAACUAUACACAGUAUCCAUUACAAACAGAAAAGGAAACCUUAUCCAUUGCCACCUUACCUGUUCCCGCUCCAAGUCAUUUUCACACUCGGAAAAUAAACAUACUUGAUGCUGGAUCCAUCUCCUUCAGAAGAAUGCCUCAAGCACCACCCAAAGAAGAUGCAGGAACUCUUGCAUCUUUCACCACAAUCUCUCCCAAUUGCAAGUACUGCCAAAACCUUGGCCUUGCAAUGAAAGACCUUUACAAGAUUGAAGAUCCCCAGAUGUUCCUCAAUCAAAGGAAGUUCAGUUGUGGCCUAUGACGCUUCAACAGUUGACUACAGCGCCGUGACCUCGUAAGUCUCAUUUUCUCCAUUGAUCGCUAAACUAUGAAGUCACUUGUUUUACCUAGAGUAGAAUUUUCCCAGCUGAGGCUUGCGAGACAAUAGGAGGGGAAGCUUGUGAUGUUGAAAUGUAUCCUGAAGUGAAGCUCAAAUCAAUUGCCACAAGCACUACUAGCACUACCACUGAACAGAUAGACACAGAGUACUUAGACUACAAUAGUCCCAAGACGUAAGAUCACUGUUAGUUAUCAAAUUUUUUCAUUUCUGGUAAGGAUUUUCUGUUUGAUGUACGUCGAUUUGUUACAGGGUGUUCCUAGAAGAGGCUUGUGAUGAUCUCGGUGGAGAAUUUUGCGAUCCUGAGUACAAAAAGGAGUUUUAGUAGAACAUUUUGGGAAUAUAAAUCCCUUGGCAAUGUAUCUAACGAAGUUCUUGAAUAAUAUAUGCGAAUUGAAUAUGUACUUUCUUUUCUAAGUUGCUGUUACAAACGGGCUGUUAAAGAAAGACAAAUUUCAACGUAUACAUCUAUGAAAUGCUAAAUGUGAAAAUUCAAUGCUUCGAUACCUACAACCAAAAUUAAGGUACAAGAAAACAUUUCGUGACCAAGUUUUUCCAUAGAUUUUACAAGUCAUAACAUCAGAAACAAGUGUAGUUCACCUGUGGUAUUUCGGAAGUUGGAUAUUUCAUCGAGCACAGAUUCGUUUUAGAUGCACUGGAGCAACACUAUGUUUUAUUCUCAUCAUCUUCAAUGAUCCCCUCCAGAAAUAAAUAUUGAAGAGCUAUGGAGUAUUUGGCAGUCCUUGUCCUCUCAGAGUUCCCACUUCCCAAAUUACUGUUUUUUCUUAGAAGAAAUGAUCCCUUGCCAUCACCUUUGAUGGUGAAAAUGGAUGAAACCCAUCUUUUAUAGAUGAAGAGCGACCUUGGGGAGUCUCCAUGGUGGGUAUCAGAAAGCAAAAGCUUGCAGUGACCUUGCUCAUUCGCAUGCGUUACUGCAUUGUGGCACAAAGCAAGAAUCCGAACCAUGGCUAAGUCUCUUCCUCGAGGAUUAUGAUAUCUCUCUUGGCAGGUCCUUAGAAAUUUUUGCAAGCAAAAGACAAACAAAAUGAAAUAGAAUGAGAACUACGAAACAUGGAGAAAGAAUUUACAAGUGAGUACCUUUCACUGAAAAAGUCUCCAAAAUCAUCAAUAACCACUGCUACUGGAAAUUUAUCAUACAGGUGGAAUGCAGCAAAGUAUUUCUUGAUGCCUUCGUCAUCAUGCACAUACCUUUAGAAGAAUGAAUCAAUAACAGGCGAAAAGAGAAGCGAAAACAACUAUUAAAGAACUGAGAGGAUCCACUACUUCAUUUGUAUGCGUUGAAAGGCAUCAGAAGAUGGAUCAAUGCCCUGAGAGAGAAAAGGGGGUUUGUUUUCUAGCCUGCGGCGGUUGCAUAUGAAGACCACAGUAGAUUUGGCAGCUUCAUUAGUCUCAGCUAUGGCGGUGUUAAAUGCGAACUGGAAAAGUAAAGACGUUUUCCCGCAAGAAGGAGGACCGGAGAGAAGCAUAAGUGGUUGCGACUGUUGGCGCGUAAAAUCUAUUCGGCCGCCAGGGAAGAACUCCUCCAGGACCUCAACCAUCCUUUGAAAUGCCCCGCGUCGGCUCAAGCUUCGUCUGCCUCCAAACGCACGCAGAAAUGGGGAGCCAGAAGCCUGAGGACUCGAGCCUCUCUUGCUUUGCUUGUUCAGCCGAAGCUGGAUUAAGAUCAAAUUCAAAG
rnacentral:misc_RNA from 1 species